UACGAAGGGGGCUAGCGUUGUUCGGAAUUACUGGGCGUAAAGCGUAUGCAGGCGGAUCGUUAAGUCGGGGGUGAAAUCCCGAGGCUCAACCUCGGAACUGCCUUCGAUACUGGCGAUCUUCGAGUCCGGGAGAGGUGAGUGGAACUGCGAGUGUAGAGGUGAAAUUCGUAGAUAUUCGCAAGAACACCAGUGGCGAAGGCGGCUCACUGGCCCGGUACUGACGCUGAGGUGCGAAAGCGUGGGGAGCAAACAGG
rnacentral:rRNA from 1 species